UGGAAAAAUGAAAGGAGAGAAGGUUAGCAAUUUCUGUGACACAAAAGGUCAAAGGCCUAAAGGUCUUUACAGAUCAUAUAUGGCUAAAACGUUUCUUCUUGCUUUGUUGUAUCUCUAUUAAAAAGU